rnacentral:rRNA from 1 species
UCCCGGUGAUCCCUGCCGGACCUGACUGCUAUCGGAUUGGUACUAAGCCAUGCGAGUCGUUGUAGCAAUACAAGGCGGACGGCUCAGUAACACGUAGUCAACCUAACCUAUGGACGUGGAUAACCUCGGGAAACUGAGAAUAAACCGCGAUAGAUCAUUAUGCCUGGAAUGGCUUAUGGUUCAAACAAUUUAUUGCCGUAGGAUGGGACUGCGGCCUAUCAGCUUGUUGGUGAGGUAAUGGCCCACCAAGGCUAUAACAGGUACGGGCUCUGAGAGGAGAAGCCCGGAGAUGGGUACUGAGACACGGACCCAGGCCCUAUGGGGCGCAGCAGGCGAGAAACCUUAGCAAUGUGCGAAAGCACGACUAGGUUAAUCCGAGUGAUUUCUGUUGAAGAAAUCUUUUGUCAGUCAUAAAACCACAGACGAAUAAGGGGUGGGCAAGUCUGGUGUCAGCCGCCGCGGUAAUACCAGCACCUCGAGUGGUCAGGAGGUUUAUUGGGCCUAAAGCAUCCGUAGCCGGCUACGCAAGUCUCCGGUUAAAUCCAGCUGCUCAACAGAUGGGCUGCCGGAGAUACUACAUAGCUAGGGAGCGGGAGAGGCAGACGGUAUUCUGUGGGUAGGGGUAAAAUCCUUUGAUCCAUAGAGGACCACCAGUGGCGAAGGCGGUCUGCCAGAACGCGUUCGACGGUGAGGGAUGAAAGCUGGGGGAGCAAACCGGAUUAGAUACCCGGGUAGUCCCAGCUGUAAACGAUGCAAACUCGGUGAUGCAUUGGCUUAUGGCCAAUGCAGUGCCGCAGGGAAGCCGUUAAGUUUGCCGCCUGGGAAGUACGGACGCAAGUCUGAAACUUAAAGGAUUGGCGGGGGAGCA